UUUUGUUAGACUGUGUUAAGUUUAGUUGUUGAACUAUUUUGUUUAAGUUUUGCUGCGCACACGCAAUAAAAUGGCCGCUUUUUCCAACGAAGAAUACGCUGAAAUGUUAUUGGUUUAUGGAAGGGCCAAUUCUAAUGGUCACGAAGCCCGACCUAUUUAUCAAGAGCUGUAUCCCAACAGAUGCUUACCGAGUCAUCAAAGCUUUGGAAAUACCUAUCGACAUUUACGUGAGACGGGAAGUCUACAAAAAUUUAACUUCAUGUCAAUCAAAGGCAACCAAAUGUAGCUGUUGAGGAACGCAUACUCGAAAAAUUUGAGGAAGAUCCCACCACAAGUAUAAAAAAAGUGGCUGAGAUACUCAAUAUCAGUCCAUGGAAAGUGUGGUCAGUUCUUCGCGCAGACGGAAAACACGCCUUUCAUUACACCCGUGUGCAAGAGCUAGAAGAUAAUGAUUUUCACCAGCGUGUGCAAUAUUGCAGAUUAAUUUUGCACACCGAUAUUGAAAAUGAAAACUUUUUAAAAGUAUCUUAUGGACAGACGAGUCUAAAUUCACUCGUGAGGGAAUACUCAACUUACAUAACCUACAUCCAUUGGGCGCCGAAAAGUGAAAAUCCUAAAUUAAAGAAAGAAGCACGCUUCCAAAGAAAGUUCUGAGUAAAUGUGUGGGCAGGAGUAAUUAGAAAUAAUGUGAUUGGACCGCAUAUCUUACCAGACAAUUUAAACGGAGAUAAUUAUUUGGAGUUCCUACAAAAUGAUUUACUGGAACUCACAUGGAAUUUGCCAAUAAUAGA
rnacentral:misc_RNA from 1 species